rnacentral:rRNA from 1 species
CAGUAGCCGCGGUAAUACGAAGGGGGCUAGCGUUGUUCGGAUUUACUGGGCGUAAAGCGCACGUAGGCGGACUUUUAAGUCAGGGGUGAAAUCCCGGGGCUCAACCCCGGAACUGCCUUUGAUACUGGGAGUCUUGAGUUCGAGAGAGGUGAGUGGAAUUGCGAGUAUAGAGGUGAAAUUCGUAGAUAUUCGCAGGAACACCAGUGGCGAAGGCGGCUCACUGGCUCGAUACUGACGCUGAGGUGCGAAAGCGUGGGGAGCAAACAGGAUUAGAUACCCCCGUAGUCCCUGUCUCUUAUAC